AUGAUAUCACAGUUACUCAAAUGAAAACAUCGGAAAAUGCUAAGAGGCAGAGAUUGGUGUUGCUAGAGUACACCUGGUUAUGCUUGUCAAGGAAAGAAACAAAAACCCUUGAUUCCGUUAUUGCUGCUGAUGAUACAACGUGUUGAAGAACAUUAAUUAAGAGUUGGAACAGUUUUGCAGGUAUAAACAAAUGUCUCUGGCAGCUGAGCAAGAAUGGAUACUGGAGCAGAAUAAAGUGCAGGUGGAACUGGACUGGCAGCACCUCUGCAAGAAUGCAGAAAGUAACUGGUAUCAGAAAUCAGAGGAUGUAACACAAAGUCUGUCUUCAGCAAGAGAGCAGAUGUUUCAGUAUGAUGAUGCAAUUCCUCUAAGCAAAAAUAUUCCUACCUUGGAAAUAAAAAGGCUUCAGGAGCAGAAUGCCAGUCUUCGGGCUGCUGUUGCACAAAUGAGGAAAGAAAUGGAGAGUCUUGAUAAGCAGAUGUCCUCUCUUCCUUUGACAGAAAAUGGACAGCUUGCAGAGCAAGGUUUAUUGUGCACAAACAAAAUUUCAACUGGAACCACUUUGAGCAAUACCAAAGUCAGCUCAGUUAACUUGGAUUGUAUGGCAAACCCAGGCAUAGAAAAGGAAUCAAAAGCCAAAGUUAUUGAAGAAAAGAUGGUAGAUCUUGGACAACAGUUUCCUGACAUAGGUCCUGGUGUCGGUCUUCAGUGUGGUGUCAGCGGCACUCUACAAGGAGUGCAAAAUAAACUGAGGGAAGCAGCAAGACAAAUUUCUAUUCUGAGUGAGGAGAAGCAGCAGCUGAUUGAAAUGGGAAAUGGACUCAGAGCAGAACUCAGAACGGUAUUGAAGGAAGGUAAAUUUAUUAUACAGAAAACUGCAAGCUUAUGUAUUUAG
rnacentral:lncRNA from 14 species